AUUGAACGCUGGCGGCAGGCCUAACACAUGCAAGUCGAGCGGAUGAAGGGAGCUUGCUCCUGGAUUCAGCGGCGGACGGGUGAGUAAUGCCUAGGAAUCUGCCUGGUAGUGGGGAUAACGUCCGGAAACGGGCGCUAAUACCGCAUACGUCCCGAGGGAGAAAGUGGGGGAUCUUCGGACCUCACGCUAUCCGAUGAGCCUAGGUCGGAUUAGCUAGUUGGUGGGGUAAAGGCCUACCAAGGCGACGAUCCGUAACUGGUCUGAGAGGAUGAUCAGUCACACUGGAACUGAGACACGGUCCAGACUCCUACGGGAGGCAGCAGUGGGGAAUAUUGGACAAUGGGCGAAAGCCUGAUCCAGCCAUGCCGCGUGUGUGAAGAAGGUCUUCGGAUUGUAAAGCACUUUAAGUUGGGAGGAAGGGCAGUAAGUUAAUACCUUGCUGUUUUGACGUUACCAACAGAAUAAGCACCGGCUAACUUCGUG
rnacentral:rRNA from 1 species